rnacentral:rRNA from 1 species
AACCUCCGCAAUGUGAGAAAUCGCGACGGGGGGAUCCCAAGUGCCAUUCUUAACGGGAUGGCUUUUCAUUAGUGUAAAGAGCUUUUGGAAUAAGGGCUGGGCAAGACCGGUGCCAGCCGCCGCGGUAACACCGGCAGCUCUAGUGGUAGCAGUUUUUAUUGGGCCUAAAGCGUCCGUAGCCGGUUUAAUAAGUCUCUGGUGAAAUCCUGUAGCUUAACUGUGGGAAUUGCUGGAGAUACUAUUAGACUUGAGACCGGGAGAGGUUAGAGGUACUCCCAGGGUAGAGGUGAAAUUCUGUAAUCCUGGGAGGACCGCCUGUUGCGAAGGCGUCUAACUGGAACGGUUCUGACGGUGAGGGACGAAAGUUAGGGGCGCGAACCGGAUUAGAUACCCGGGUAGUCCUAACCGUAAACGAUGCGGACUUGGUGUUGGGGUGGCUUUGAGCUGCUCCAGUGCCGAAGGGAAGCUGUUAAGUCCGCCGCCUGGGAGUACGGUCGCAAGACUGAAACUUAAAGGAAUU